AGAAUAAGCCCCGGCUAACUUCGUGCCAGCAGCCGCGGUAAUACGAAGGGGGCUAGCGUUAUUCGGAAUUACUGGGCGUAAAGCGCGCGUAGGCGGUUAUUUAAGUCAGGGGUGAAAUCCCGGGGCUCAACUUUGGAACUGCCUUUGAUACUGCCGGUCUUGAGUGUGGCAGAGGGAGGUGGAAUUCCGAGUGUAGCGGUGAAAUUCGUAGAUAUUCGGAGGAACACCGGUGGCGAAGGCGGCCUCCUGGUCCAACACUGACGCUGAGGCGCGAAAGCGUGGGGAGCAAACAGGAUUAGAUACCCUGGUAGUCCACGCCGUAAACGAUG
rnacentral:rRNA from 1 species